GGGGGUUUACACUCUUUUUGAGGGUCCAUCUGCAGUCUGCGGAUAAGGUACAUGGACAUCCGGAUGGUAGUUGUUGUUCCAAUUCCAAAAAAAUAUACUCUUUUUGGGUUAAGAGAGCUGAUCGAGUAUUAGUUCAUGCAUUAAAUUCUGUCAUUGAACUGCAGAAAAUCCGAAUUCGUUUGCUGGAAAGGAUCCCUUCUGUGCAAUAAAGAUUUCCCGGGCAUUGCAAUUGAAUAAUCAAAUUCUACGAUCUAUAAAUUUGAGGGUAUUUAAUGCUGCGACUGUCCUGACAAACGGCUGCCCCUUUUGCAGUUUUUGGUUAUUUUUGGCCAAAAUUAAUGGCGGGUAAAAUGUGUAACGUUUUGUCAGUAGCCACGGUGGGUGUGUAAGUCAGGGGUUAAACAGAAGUAGAUGUUGUGCGAUAGGCGGGGCUGGCUCGUACAGCCAGCGUUGCAGCGGUUGUAUGUAGAUUGCUGCUGUUUUCCCCGAAUAUACACAUAGAGUAUAGCCUAUCCAGAGGGUCCCAUCACUUUGGAGUCUUAUGGAGCAUGCAAACAAUUGAAGGCAAACAGAGUGAUUAUCGCUGAAUUUAUGGGCUUCAGCUUUAAGCAUCAAUUUCGAGAGUUACUGCCAUCGUCGGAUGCGUAUCUGCAUCGUCUGUGUGCCCUUCGUUGUGGUUGGUCCUGUGCCAUUUUUUGUGGGUUUUUGCAGGGCGCAUUUGUUUGUGAUUAAACCGAUGCAUCCAUCGGUUUUGUUUCGGCGUGCUACCGUGGUCGAGGGCAUUCCGUGUAAUGAUGGUGCUGCUGCUGCUGCUGCUGCUGCUUAUCGACCAGAGUAGAGUGGGAGCGGGGCAUGCAUCCAUCGAAUUUUGCGGCUCCACGAAGGCUGCUGCCGUGCCACGCCCUCAGCUGGCUGCAGUCAGUCAUUAGGCAAUUAGCAGCGUGGAAUGGGCAGGAGCGUGCAUAGAAAGAUAGUGGAUACACGAUACUAAUGGAGCAGGCAACAUGGGCGCGUAUCAAUCAGGAAUCCAUCAGCACUCGGACUCCCUGUGCGGCGGAUGAUCCACACCAAAAUGGACGGUAGAACGGUGUUGGCUGCUUCGCCAUCCAUCAAUCAUAUUUCUGGCACUGUUGCAUUCAUUUUGCCAGCAUAUUUGUUUCGCAUAACUGUCACGGUGUAUCACAAACGACAUCAAAAAAACAAAUAAUAAACAGUGAACGGAAAUAAAUAAAGGUUUCUGCGUCCAUUUUAAUUUAUGUUUCCAUAAAUGUGUUGAUUCCGAAUAUUUUGUGGCAUUUCA
rnacentral:lncRNA from 1 species